UACGAGGGGGGCGAGCGUUGUUCGGAAUUAUUGGGCGUAAAGGGUGCGUAGGCGGUUUGGUAAGUCUUAUGUGAAAUCUACAGGCUCAACUUGUAGUCUGCAUGAGAAACUGCCGGGCUUGAGUAUGGGAGAGGUGAGUGGAAUUCCUGGUGUAGCGGUGAAAUGCGUAGAUAUCGGGAGGAACACCUGUGGCGAAAGCGGCUCACUGGACCACAACUGACGCUGAGGCGCGAAAGCUAGGGGAGCAAAAGGG
rnacentral:rRNA from 1 species